ACCUGCAUUCGAAAGUGAUCAUGGGCUGCCUGUGCCCUGGUCAUCAGUUUUGCAGGGAGAGGAACUGAAAGCCAUUUCCCGUGUUUGGAGGGUCCAGCCUGUCCCUUUCAAAUGCUGGCGCUUUCAUACA
ensembl:snoRNA SNORA71 Small nucleolar RNA SNORA71